GCCAGGCGUGGUGGUGCACACCUGUAAUCCCAGUGGCUUGGGAGGCUGAAGCAGGAGGAUUGCAAGUUCAAAGCCAGCCUCAGCAACUAUGGCCCUAAGCAGCUCAGUGAGGUCCUGUUUCUA
rnacentral:sRNA from 1 species